rnacentral:ncRNA from 16 species
AUGCGUUCGCGCAACUGGCGCUCGAUCGAGGUGGGCCACCACCGGGGAACGCGAACCACGAGCACGCUCGCGUUCCAC